UACCUGGGCAGGGUGCCAGUUACCUUGGGU
rnacentral:piRNA from 1 species